UACGGGGGGGCAAGCGUUGUUCGGAAUUACUGGGCGUAAAGGGCUCGUAGGCGGCCAACUAAGUCAGACGUGAAAUCCCUCGGCCUAACCGGGGAACUGCGUCUGAUACUGGAUGGCUCGAGUUUGGGAGAGGGAUGCGGAAUUCCAGGUGUAGCGGUGAAAUGCGUAGAUAUCUGGAGGAACACCGGUGGCGAAGGCGGCAUCCUGGACCAACACUGACGCUGAUGAGCGAAAGCCAGGGGAGCAAACGGGG
rnacentral:rRNA from 1 species